rnacentral:rRNA from 1 species
UACGUAGGGAGCGAGCGUUAUCCGGAUUUAUUGGGUGUAAAGGGUGCGUAGACGGGACAAUAAGUUAGUUGUGAAAUCCCUCGGCUCAACUGAGGAACUGCAACUAAAACUGUUAUUCUUGAGUGUUGGAGAGGUAAUCGGAAUUCCUAGUGUAGCGGUGAAAUGCGUAGAUAUUAGGAGGAACACCAGUGGCGAAGGCGACUUACUGGACUGUAACUGACGUUGAGGCACGAAAGUGUGGGGAGCAA